rnacentral:misc_RNA from 1 species
CUCUGUUGCUGAAGUUCCGUUUCUCACAAAUGAAGGAUUGAUUAGUAUCCUCUAACCCCAAUUCCUAAUCCAAAAUAUUUGAAAAGGAAAAAUAUGCCAAUCGCAGCUGUUUCACCACUGAGUCAUUGCUAUUGCACUACAUCACUUGUUAAAACCAGAAUCCCCAACCCCUCAUUAAAAUGCAAUUUCCUCUCCCCCAUUACCCGGAACCCACUUCGUUCCCACACCAAAACCCCUCUAACUCUCACCACCUGCCCUGGCAGAAGUAAGAAAUUUAACCUCACUAUUGUGGCAAUGAGCAUGGACGCUGGAGUUGGUGUGAUGGGAACCAAACUUGGCAUGAUGAGUUACUUUGAGCCUGAUGGGACGGUUGUGCCCGUCACAGUCGUUGGCUUUCGAGAAGGAAACAUUGUGACCCAAAUCAAGACUCAGGCCACUGAUGGGUAUGAUGCUGUUCAGGUGGGUUAUCGGAGGGUUAGGGAUAAAAAGCUGACAAAGCCUGAGUUGGGCCAUUUGGAGAAGGCAGGGAUUAUACCUAUGAGGCAUUUGCAGGAGUUUAGGUUGCAAAAUAUUGAUGGGUUUGAGGUUGGGCAGAAGUUGGUUCUCGAGGAGUUUUUAAAGGAAGGGGAUCUUGUUGAUGUCUCUGGAAUAACCAUUGGCAAAGGCUUUCAAGGUGGAAUUAAGCGGCACAAUUUCAAAAGGGGA